rnacentral:rRNA from 1 species
AAUUCGAUGCAACGCGAAGAACCUUACCUGGUCUUGACAUCCCGGGGACCCUUAGGAAACUAGGGGGUGCUUCCAUCUGGAAGAAUCUGGAGACAGGUGCUGCAUGGCUGUCGUCAGCUCGUGUCGUGAGAUGUUGGGUUAAGUCCCGCAACGAGCGCAACCCUUGCCUUUAGUUGCCAGCAGUUCGGCUGGGCACUCUAAAGGGACUGCCGGUGUUAAACCGGAGGAAGGUGGGGAUGACGUCAAGUCCUCAUGGCCUUUAUGACCAGGGCUACACACGUACUACAAUGGCCGAUACAAAGGGCAGCGACACUGCGAGGUGAAGCCAAUCCCGUAAAAUCGGUCUCAGUCCGGAUUGGAGUCUGCAACUCGACUCCAUGAAGUUGGAAUCGCUAGUAAUCGUGGAUCAGCAUGCCACGGUGAAUACGUUCCCGGGCCUU